rnacentral:rRNA from 1 species
CCCUUAGAUGUCCUGGGCCGCACGCGCGCUACACUGAGUGGCUGAGAUACGAGUCUGCCUGGUCCGGCAAGGUCUAGGUAAUCGCUAAAAGACACAUCAUGCUUGGGAUAGAUUAUUGCAAAUAUUAAUCUUGAACGAGGAAUUCCUAGUAAGCGCAAGUCAACAGCUUGCGUUGAUUACGUCCCUGCCCUUUGUACACACCGCCCGUCGCUACUACUGAUUGGAUGUUUAAGCGAGGUUCUCGAACUGCUAGCGACUUAGCUUCGGUGAGGUCGCAGUGUGGGAAGUGAACCUAGCUUUGGUGUCUAGAGGAAGUAAAAGUCGUAACA